GGUAGCAUGGCCGAGCGGUCUAAGGCGCUGGUUUAAGGCACCAGUCAUUUCGAUGUCGUGGGUUCGAAUCCCACUGCUGCCA
rfam:Ciona savignyi cont_60417, whole genome shotgun sequence.